CCUACGGGAGGCAGCAGUAGGGAAUAUUGCUCAAUGGGGGAAACCCUGAAGCAGCAACGCCGCGUGGAGGAUGAAGGUUUUCGGAUUGUAAACUCCUUUUGUUAGAGAAGAUAAUGACGGUAUCUAACGAAUAAGCACCGGCUAACUCCGUGCCAGCAGCCGCGGUAAUACGGAGGGUGCAAGCGUUACUCGGAAUCACUGGGCGUAAAGAGCGCGUAGGCGGGAUAGAAAGUCAGAUGUGAAAUCCUAUGGCUUAACCAUAGAACUGCAUUUGAAACUGUUAUUCUGGAGUAUGGGGGGGUAAGGGGGAUUUCUUGGUGUGGGGGUAAACUC
rnacentral:rRNA from 1 species